rnacentral:rRNA from 1 species
AACGAACGCUGGCGGCGUGCCUAAUACAUGCAAGUCGAACGAGAAAGCCCGGCUUCGGUUGGGUAAGUAAAGUGGCGAACGGGUGAGUAACACGUGGAUAAUCUGCCUAUGCGUCCGGGAUAAUCCUUCGAAAGGAGGUCUAAUACCGGAUGACACCUUCUGACGGCAUCGUCGGAAGUUCAAAGACGGGGCAACCUGUUGCGUAUAGAUGAAUCCGCGCUCCAUUAGCUAGUUGGCGGGGUAAAAGCCCACCAAGGCUCCGAUGGAUAGCCGGCCUGAGAGGGUGAUCGGCCAUACUGGGACUGAGAUACGGCCCAGACUCCUACGGGAGGCAGCAGUAGGGAAUAUUGGACAAUGGGCGAAAGCCUGAUCCAGCCAUGCCACGUGUGUGAAGAAGGUCUUCGGAUUGUAAAGCACUUUAAGUUGGGAGGAAGGGUUGUGAGCUAAUAUCUUGCAGCUUUGACGUUACCAACAGAAUAAGCACCGGCUAACUCUGUGCCAGCCGCCGCGGUAAUAC